GCGCUCACUUUGGCAGCACAUAUACUAAAAUUAAAAUGAUACUGAGAUUAGGAUGGCCCCUGUACAAGGAUGACAGGCAAAUUUGUAAAGCAUUCCAUAUUUGG